GCUUACGGCCAUACCAGCCUGGGUACGCCCGAUCUCGUCUGAUCUCGGAAGCUAAGCAGGGUCGGGCCUGGUUAGUACUUGGAUGGGAGACCGCCUGGGAAUACCAGGUGCUGUAAGAU
rnacentral:rRNA from 1 species